UACAACUACUCCAAACAAUAA
rnacentral:piRNA from 1 species